ensembl:lncRNA
UAUAGGAAAAGUUCAUGGAGUCUGGCUAAGUUGAAACCAGCACACAAAAUAUUAGCUCUGAAGUUGGCUGUACUGGAGCAUGAGAAAUAUAUGCUUUUUUACAGUGCCUUCAUUAGGGAGACAAAUAAACCCUGCAAUGAGAACUGGAAGCCUUUGCCUCUCCUUUUGAAGAACUGUUUAUCUAUCUGCCAAACUGGGCAUCAACGUACAGGGAGGGCAGAAUAGCAACACUAAAUGUUUUUACAGUGUCAGCAUCCUCUAGAGCAGGGCUGUCAAACAUAAGGGUAAGAAUCGGCCUGCCAAGGACUGUGAUUUGGCUCACUGCACAGCUUUGGAUCAUAACGGGCUGCAUAUCGUUAGCUUCAUAGCAUAAUUGCCUAAGUCAUGUUUUUGUGUUAGGCACUUAGGCACUUAUGCUAUGAAGCUAACGAUAUGUGGAAAGUCAGUUUGACGCCCAACUCUAGAGAAAAAGGACAACAGUCCACACAGAAUCCAGAAACUAGAAAAGAUAAGGACAGAAAGCUGAGAGGGGCACGAACAGACCAACAACAAAGUCAACAACAAAGACGAAAGCACGAUCAGAUAUCUCCUGCACCGAGACACGGACCCAACAGCUGGAUGCAAAGACAGAACACGUGAAAAGAUACUGCGUCCCAGAGGCCAACAAGGGAGCUUAAACAAAAACGUCUUAAACUUUUAUAUUGUGUAUAUUUAACUUCAGCUGUGCUCUCAGACAGACUGUGGAGCGGCUCCCAGCAGAAGUGGGCCACUUACGUCACCUUCAUGUCCGAGGGUCAGUGGGAGCUCUUCAACACCACCUGGUAAAGAACUAUAUAGGACCAGUGACUGUAAUAAAGAACCCAUCACUGUGUGAGGACACAAACCAGUAUCUUUGGCAGUGAGGACAGGACCGAGUAAACUAUCUAAAUACUGCAGAUUUAUUGAGGCUGUGCUAAAUGAUGAGGUCACUAAACAGGAAGUACAGAAAAAUUUAACAGAAUAGGUUUUAUCACAUGAUCACAGUCUCUCUGUCUACCCUGUGGGAGGGGCCUAGAGUAGGCAUGAGUAUUACAGCCAUUUCCUCCAGACUGAGAAAACAAAGCUGAUCCAGAGAAACG